AUACGUAGGGGGCGAGCGUUGUCCGGAAUGAUUGGGCGUAAAGGGCGCGUAGGCGGCUUUGCAAGUCAGUAGUGGAAGUCCAUUUUUCAAGGAUGGAGGUGCUACAGAAACUGCGGAGCUUGAGUGCAGGAGAGGUUAUCGGAAUUCCCGGUGUAGCGGUGAAAUGCGUAGAGAUCGGGAGGAACACCAGUGGCGAAGGCGGGUAACUGGACUGCAACUGACGCUGAGGCGCGAAAGUGUGGGGAGCAAACAGGAUUAGAUACCCUGGUAGUCCACACUGUAAACGAUGAAUGCUAGGUGUAGGAGGUAUCGACCCCUUCUGUGCCGCAGUAAACACAGUAAGCAUUCCGCCUGGGGAGUACGGUCGCAAGAUUAAAACUUAAAUGAAUUGACGGGG
rnacentral:rRNA from 1 species